rnacentral:rRNA from 1 species
UACGAAGGGGGCUAGCGUUGUUCGGAAUUACUGGGCGUAAAGCGCGCGCAGGCGGUCCUUUAAGUCGGGGGUGAAAGCCCAGAGCUCAACUCUGGAACUGCCUUCGAAACUAGAGGACUUGGGUACGGGAGAGGUGAGUGGAAUUCCGAGUGUAGAGGUGAAAUUCGUAGAUAUUCGGAAGAACACCAGUGGCGAAGGCGGCUCACUGGUCCGGUUCUGACGCUGAGGUGCGAAAGCGUGGGGAGCAAACAGG